GACGAACGCUGGCGGCGUGCUUAACACAUGCAAGUCGAACGGAAAGGCCCCCUUGUGGGGUACUCGAGUGGCGAACGGGUGCGUAACACGUGAGUAACCUACCCUUGACUUUGGGAUAACUUCAGGAAACUGGGGCUAAUACCGGAUAGGAGCUCCUGCUGCAUGGUGGGGGUUGGAAAGUUUCGGCGGUUGGGGAUGGACUCGCGGCUUAUCAGCUUGUUGGUGGGGUAGUGGCUCACCAAGGCUUUGACGGGUAGCCGGCCUGAGAGGGUGACCGGCCACAUUGGGACUGAGAUACGGCCCAGACUCCUACGGGAGGCAGCAGUGGGGAAUAUUGCACAAUGGGCGGAAGCCUGAUGCAGCAACGCCGCGUGCGGGAUGACGGCCUUCGGGUUGUAAACCGCUUUCGCCUGUGACGAAGCGUGAGUGACGGUAAUGGGUAAAGAAGCACCGGCUAACUACGUG
rnacentral:rRNA from 1 species